UUUUUAUAGAAUUUUAUUUUUUAGUCAAAAAGCUAAAAUAAAUUUAAAAGACGAGAAGACCCUAUAAAUCUUUAUAUUUUAUUUAUUUUAAUUAAAAAGAUUAAUUUAUUAUUAAUAAAUUAAAAUAUUUUAUUGGGGUGAUAUUAAAAUUUAAAAACUUUUAAUUUUUUAAACCAUUAAUUUAUGAAGAAAUCAUCCAUUAAUAAUGAUUAAAAAUUUAAGUUACUUUAGGGAUAACAGCGUAAUUUUUUU
rnacentral:rRNA from 1 species